AUUAUUAGAACAAAACAAAAACCAACUUGGGUGUCGGGGUACGCAUCUAAUCCAAAUAACACCAUAGUUCUUAGAUUUUUAAAACAAAAUCUGCGAAUAUAGACUAACAAAAACCAAAUUGGGAUACGCAUGUUGAAGAUGAUAAACAAGUUCAGAGCAACUCAUAGCCUUUUGAAGCACUUCAAUUAUCGAUUAAUCCCCGAUAAUUCCGUCCUCCGUUCCGCUUCAGGCUUUACGCAUCACUUCAAUGAAAGUGUUGAUGAUGCCAAUCAGAAGCAAGAAUUGCAGACUCGUGGUCGUUCCUUUAGGGAAUGCGGAGAAAUUUUCUCGUCUUCAAAUGAAAGAGGCUUUGGAAAGAUGCCGGCAGUUCAAUGUAGAAGUUUUGGCUCCGCGGCGACAACAAUUAAGAGAAAUCCAUCGUUUGCGACCUUGAAUUCUGAUGAUAUAUCGUAUUUUAAGGGGAUUUUGGGCGAGAAAUAUGUUGUUCAAGAUGAACUUGCUUUGGAGCUUGCAAAUUCAGAUUGGAUGCAUAAAUACAAAGGUUCAAGUAGGCUUAUUCUCCUACCUAGGAGCACUGAUGAGGUCUCCCAGAUUCUUAAAUAUUGUAAUUCGAGGCACUUGGCUGUUGUUCCACAAGGUGGAAAUACUGGCCUUGUAGGUGGAAGUGUGCCAGUUUUUGAUGAGGUAAUUAUCAAGAUGAGUUCUAUGAGUAACAUUAUAGCUUUUGACAAGGUUAGUGGCAUACUUGUUUGUGAAGCUGGAUGCAUAUUGGAAAAUUUGAUAUCCUUCCUGGAUAACCAGGGAUUUAUUAUGCCACUGGACUUAGGUGCAAAAGGAAGCUGCCAAAUUGGUGGAAAUGUUUCAACUAAUGCUGGCGGUCUGCACCUUGUUCGUUAUGGUUCGCUGCAUGGGAAUGUACUCGGUCUUGAGGCUGUUCUAGCAAAUGGUACUGUGCUUGACAUGCUUGGAACUUUACGUAAAGAUAAUACUGGCUAUGACUUGAAGCAUUUGUUUAUAGGAAGUGAGGGGUCCUUGGGAAUUGUAACUAAGGUGUCCAUACUUACCCCACCAAAGCUGUCAGCAGUGAAUAUAGCUUUUCUUGCAUGCAAUGAUUAUCUCAGCUGUCAGAAACUUUUAUUGGAAGCAAAGAGUAAACUUGGAGAGAUUUUGUCUGCGUUCGAAUUUUUGGAUAGUGAGGCAAUGGAAUUGGUUGUUAACCAUUUAGAAGGUGUUCGAAAUCCAUUAUCACCCUCAAUGCACAACUUUUAUGUUCUGAUCGAGACAACAGGCAGUGAUGAAUCUUAUGACAAAGAGAAGCUUGAGGCAUUUCUAUUCCGCUCCAUGGAAUCCGGUUUAAUUUCUGAUGGAGUUCUUGCACAAGACAGUAACCAGGCAUCAUCUUUUUGGCGUAUACGUGAGGGUAUACCAGAGGCAUUGAUGAGAGCAGGAGCUGUAUACAAAUAUGAUUUGUCAUUGCCUGUUGAAAAUAUGUACAAUCUUGUUGAAGAAAUGCGAGUAAGAUUAGCUCAAAAAGCCAAAGUAGUGGGAUAUGGCCAUUUGGGAGACGGCAACUUGCAUCUCAAUAUUUCAGCCCCACAAUCUGAUGAUAUGAUUUUGGCACAAAUUGAACCUUAUGUCUAUGAGUGGACAUCUAAAUACCGUGGAAGUAUAAGCGCAGAGCAUGGCCUAGGACUUAUGAAGGCAAAUGAGAUAUUUUACAGCAAGUCGCAUGAAACUGUAUGUAUUUUGGAUUGUGAAACAUCCUAAUUCAUUUAGGAUACGUUUGGUGAGCAUAAUGGGAGGAGAUAUAAUGUUCAAGUAAUGGCUUCCAUCAAAAAGUUGCUUGACCCCCAUGGAAUACUAAACCCAUAUAAAGUUCUUCCGCACUCGCUCAGUUCAUGCUAAUGAGUGACCGUCUAUAUCUGGAACAUAAAAAGAGAGGAAUUGCUGUGAAUAAUAUCUGACCGAGUUACAUCGGUAACUUAAGGAAGCCCACUAUUCUGAUAGCUAGACGUAAGUAUCAGGGCGCGUUCUACCACUGAGCUAAUAGCCCGUCUAAUUGAUAUGCAAGCUUCUCAUGUAUCUUGGUGUAUAUUCUAAUGACAAUAAAGAAAGCUUUCAUGAUAGUUGUAUUUCGACGAUUUGCUGCCUUUCUUUAUUUGCAAAAAUAAAUAUUCACCUCUCAGUGCUUUCAAAAUCAGACCAAAGCAGCAGGUUGAACUGUUUAAACUUAUUAUUGGAAAACAAAAUAUCUUCUGUUAAUGAUUUAUUUUAGUAAAUAUAACAUGAUGUUGCAAAUA